CCAACGGCCCUUUUCAGGGCCAAAAUUUUUAAUAUCAUGCAUUGU
rfam:Trichinella pseudospiralis scaffold24s, whole genome shotgun sequence.